CGCCACAAAGAAGAGGGAGGUAAGAAAGGUGGGUGUAGGGCCUGGGGUCACUUGAUGGGACCAAGAACUCCUGGGUGCUGUUAGAUGUAAAGCUCUACUCUCUCUGUAGAUCGAAAUCUUUGCUACGAUGUCCAUUUCUCACUAAAGCCUGUGGUGAAGGUUGACUCCGGGAUAAUGCAGUGCUGAGACUUGCUCCUUGAGAAAGGAUGUGAGUGGAGGUUGUGGGCCGUUACACCUGCACUGUGUUUUGAGACCCUGCCCAGGGUUUUCAAUGAAAAUAAAAAGCCAAACAUGCGCCCCCCCCAUUGCUGCCAAAGUACCAGUGCAGGAUGAACCAGCCAGAGCAGAGGCGGCUUUGGAAUAUUAGCUCAACACCAGCGGAAAUCUGCGGUUGUGAAGUCAGCAUUCUGGCACGAUCAAGAAUGGUUUUUCAAAAGAAUAUGCUCCCCACUAGUGGAAAGAUGACCCCCAAGAGCUCCAUCCUGAUAUCUUCAGCCCUACUGGAAAAAGAGCU